UCAGAAUAAAGGCACGGUGCUCGAAAGAGUUUCCACGCAAAGCUCCAGGUCUAAGGUCAAUACAUUGGCUAUGAUGGCUGAGCCGCUUCC
rnacentral:ncRNA from 1 species